rnacentral:rRNA from 1 species
UACGGAGGGUGCAAGCGUUGUUCGGAAUCACUGGGCGUAAAGCGCGUGUAGGCGGCCAUUUAAGUCUGGUGUGAAAGCCCUGGGCUCAACCCAGGAAGUGCACUGGAUACUGGAUGGCUGGAGUACCGGAGAGGAGGGUGGAAUUCCUGGUGUAGCGGUGAAAUGCGUAGAUAUCAGGAGGAACACCGGUGGCGAAGGCGUCCCUCUGGCCGGAUACUGACGCUGAGACGCGAAGGCGUGGGGAGCAAACAGG